ACUGCCUGCAAUCCCUACAUCCGCAGCCCUGACGCUCAUGAAUACUGAGGGAUUUGAGCCGUGACGAUGGCGGAGGAGCAGGAGGAGGCGGAGUCAAGGGGAGGGGAAUAAUUCAGCCAGUUGCCGUAGGGAUGCGCGCAGGCUCACUAAGUAGGGCUGCCGCUUAUUGACUCAAACGCCGCGGCCGCUGCUUCUGCAAGCUGACAAACCAGGGAGCGCUGAGCUCGGCGCUGAGUGGAGACCGGGGAGCGAGAAGAGGGUUGACGAACAGAUCCGCCAUUGUCUCUUCUGUCCUCCCCCAGCCCUCCCCACCCGCCAGCCUCCUCGCAGCGGCUCCGCGGACGGGUGAUGCCCGUGACUGGCGUCGUUUCGCCAGCGCUGGGAUUUUUUUGCUUGGCCGAUGAAGGUGGCGUAGCUUGGAUCCGCAUCUUCUACUAGGAGGGGCUACAGCCACAAAGCCAGGAGCUCGCUCGACUGCUUGCAGGAGUGACACACCGUUUCCCUGAACCGUUCUGUGCCCGAACCGCCUCUCCCGCCAGAACCACCAUAUGAUACCCAGACACACCUGAUGUUCUCUCAGCGAAUAUAUCCCCUCAAAGUUUUGUCUCUACGUUGCGCAAACAAGAUGGAGGCCCCGCUCGUUUGUCUAGAUGAGGAGUUCGAGGACCUGCGGCCCUGCAGGGUGGAGGACCUGGAGCAGACACCCAGGCGUCCCUAUGGGACUGUCCCCAUAGCCCGGGAGGACUUCUCCGAGUUGGAGAACUUCUCUGAGAUGAUGAGCUUCAAGUCCAUGGAAGACCUCGUCAACGAGUUUGACGAGAAGCUCAACGUGUGCUUCCACAACUACAACACCAAGACGGAGGGCCUGGCCCCCGUGCGCAACCAUUCCCACACGGAGGAGGACGAAGAGAGACUACAGGACGAAGAUGUGUGGGACGCGCUGACCGACAACUACCUGCCGUCCUCUGGUUCCAGCUGGGAUGACCCCAACUCGGAGGGCCUGAACGGAAACCUGUCCGACCAGGAGAUCCAUGAAAAAGAGGAAGAGGAGAUGAACGAGAAGAACGACAACAUGAGUUGUCUUAGCGAGGAACCGCUCAUCACGGCAGACCAGUGUCUUGUCAGCAAGUCUGAGCCGCGAUACCGCUGCCCCGCACAGGUGAUAGAGGAGAUUGUGGAGAUGAUGGAGAACUCCCCAGACCCGGGGGAGACGGAAGAAGAGGAGGAGGAUGAGGCUGGAGACUCGGGGACCCCGUCCAACCCGUCCCUGCUAGAGGAGAUCCGAGUGCUGUCCAAGGCCUCCAACAAUAACUGCUCCUACGAAGGCCUGAGCCUUAUGCCGAGCUCAGCGCUGUUGGAGUUGCUGUGUCGCGUGGAGGCAGCCAUCCGCCAGUACUCUGAGGAGCUGGUGACCCAGCUGGCCCGCCGCGAUGAGCUCGAGUUUGAGAAGGAGGUGAAGAACAGCUUCAUCACGGCGCUCAUGGAGGUGCAGAACCGGCAGAAGGAGCAGCGGGAAGUGGGCAAGCGCCGGCGCCGGGACAAAGGCCUGAGCCUGCAGGGGACGGGCCGCACGGAGAAGGCUGGCUCCAUGCCCCUGAAGCGCUUCAGCAUGGAGGGGCUCUCCAACAUCCUGCAGACUGGGAUCCGACAGACCUUUGGCAACUCAGGAACAGACAAACAGUAUCUGAACACAGUGAUCCCCUAUGAGAAGAAGGGCACCCCUCCCACGGUGGAGGACCUUCAGAUGCUGACGAGAAGUAGGUUCCCAGCGUUCUUUAUGCAAUGAAGGAGGACAGUGAGAAGGUGCCAACCCUGCUAACGGACUACAUUUUGAAAGUCCUGUGUCCUACCUAAAGGUGCCCUUUAGUGUGCGCAAGACGUGAGGAGGCCGUCCGUCCCGAGUCCCGAGUCCAAGCUGCAUGAACUCCCAUCCAUUAUUAACGGUGGACCACGGCAUCGUAAUCAUCGUCCAUUACCCGUCAUGAGCCAGAACAAAAGUCUGCCUUUGCCGAGAUCAUCUCGUCUGUCCCGCACCCUCUCGAACCCAGGGCUGAGGGAGUGCCGCCGCUGCCUGUUUUUGAUGUCUCCCUGUUCAUGUGACAUGUAUGUAGCCGUUUCAGAGUUCGCUCAGUUCCACACAGUGGGCCAGAGGUGUGGAGGGGUGGGAAUGGGAACACGUUACACACCGACGCAUCAUUCUUCAGAGUGCAGCCACGAAACCUGCCGUGUUUGUCAAAAAAAAAAAGACAACAUACUUUAUUAUCUUUUCUCGUCGUCUGUCUGCUGGCAUCUCCCCUAAGAAAGUCAUACAGCCUGUGUCACAUCUUUGACUCAAUCACAGUAAUGUGACAUCUCAAUGUAGCAAAUCAUGCCAAGGCAUAAAACUGACAUUUAAAGAAAAAGAAAAAAAAACACACCUUUUAUUAUCCUUAGAAAAAAAAAAAAAAACAGCAUACACCAUUACAGUCCCUUUGUUCGUUGUUGUGUUUCUGCACGACCUUCGCACAGGUCUCAUAUUACAGGUAAAAAAGGGUUUUGUCUUCUGACACCUCAGCGAACGCUUGUAAACCCGCACACACUGCACACUGUAUACGAGGACAUAAGCGAUCUAACAUGUUAAAAAGACCUCAGGGUUUCGUCAACACAACAAUAAUUAUUCAGCCAUUUCAUUUAUUUGAUAUUAUGGAAUUCAUGUAAUUUAUUGCAUAUCAUUAAUGUAGCUGCCAUGCAUCUGUCUCUUGAUUAAAAUGAGCAGUUUUUAUCAUUAAUGAAUUAAAGAUGAUCUGUUCCCUGUGA